rnacentral:rRNA from 1 species
GACGAACGCUGGCGGCGUGCCUAAUACAUGCAAGUUGAGCGAUGAAGAUUGGUGCUUGCACCAAUUUGAAGAGCAGCGAACGGGUGAGUAACGCGUGGGGAAUCUGCCUUUGAGCGGGGGACAACAUUUGGAAACGAAUGCUAAUACCGCAUAAUAACUUUAAACAUAAGUUUUAAGUUUGAAAGAUGCAAUUGCAUCACUCAAAGAUGAUCCCGCGUUGUAUUAGCUAGUUGGUGAGGUAAAGGCUCACCAAGGCGAGGAUACAUAGCCGACCUGAGAGGGUGAUCGGCCACAUUGGGACUGAGACACGGCCCAAACUCCUACGGGAGGCAGCAGUAGGGAAUCUUCGGCAAUGGACGAAAGUCUGACCGAGCAACGCCGCGUGAGUGAAGAAGGUUGUCGGAUCGUAAAACUCUGUUGGUAGAGAAGAACGUUGGUGAGAGUGGAAAGCUCAUCAAGUGACGGUAACUACCCAGAAAGGGACGGCUAACUACGUG